rnacentral:lncRNA from 1 species
AUGAUAAAAAGUGACUUUACAAUAUUUGUGUUACUUGUAUAAAAAUCUCCACACAGAAGAGCUUUAUACACAUGUGAUAAACAAAAACUAAUUCAACACACUUAAAAUAAUUAACAAACAAAGGCAGUUGUAUGACCUCAUUCGAUCCAAUUGUAUAUUAGUUGAAAGAAUAUUUGUCUAUAAGACAUAAUGCCCUGCACAUACAAUCACAUUUUUGUAUGUGCAGGUUAAUUGCAAAAUGAACAUGUGUACUAAAUUCCAAUUUGAUGUGACCACAAACCCAUAAACAAACUUAUUAACCCAAACUAAAUUCUAAACAGACCAAAAAAGGUAUAUAAAAAAAAGACUCUCUUAUUAGCAAUUUGAUAUGGUUUCUUUUGCUUUUAUAGUUGAAACAUAUACUGGUACAUAUAUGUGUUUUAUACAGGUAGCAUUCUCAAAAAUUAAUGACAUUGACAUAGAUAAAUAUUUCUGCAUAACAAAUGACCUAUUUAUCUAUCUAUUAAGACAUUCUUUGAAAAAUUUCUUAUAUGUACCAUCCUUGAGACUUGUAUAUGUAGAUGAGUUAUAAUGAAGGACAACUUACACUCAACCAAAGCAAAAGUAUAUUAUUACAUAUAUUCAUAACAAUAGUUUGCUAUAAAGUUUGAAUACACAUUUUCUUUGGUUUAUAUGCAUAUGGUAGACAUUAUUUUAUGAAAGUGUUAUUACAGAUAAAUUAUGCGUCAUUAAUUUAAUAUUCAAUUAAAUAACAAACUAACUUACUCAAAACUUGGAUCUUUUCA